GAAGCUGGAUUCGCUAGUAAUCGCGCAUCAGCCACGGCGCGGUGAAUACGUUCCCGGGCCUUGUACACACCGCCCGUCAAGCCAUGGAAGCCGGGGGGUGCCUGAAGUGCGCUGCCGCAAGGAGCGUCCUAGGGUAAAACCGGUGACUGGGGCUAAGUCGUAACAAGGUAUC
rnacentral:rRNA from 1 species